UACGUAGGGGGCUAGCGUUGUCCGGAAUCAUUGGGCGUAAAGAGCGUGUAGGCGGUCCGGUAAGUCCGCUGUGAAAGUCGGGGGCUCAACCCUCGAAUGCCGGUGGAUACUGUCGGGCUAGAGUGCGGAAGAGGCGAGUGGAAUUCCUGGUGUAGAGGUGAAAUGCGCAGAUAUCAGGAGGAACACCUAUUGCGAAGGCAGCUCGCUGGGACGUAACUGACGCUGAGACGCGAAAGCGUGGGGAGCAAACAGG
rnacentral:rRNA from 1 species